rnacentral:rRNA from 1 species
UACGUAGGGGGCAAGCGUUGUCCGGAUUUAUUGGGCGUAAAGAGCGUGUAGGCGGCCAGGUAGGUCAGCUGUGAAAACUCGAGGCUCAACCUCGAGAUGUCGGCUGAAACCAUCUGGCUAGAGUCCGGAAGAGGAGAAUGGAAUUCCCGGUGUAGCGGUGAAACGCGCAGAUAUCGGGAAGAACACCCGUGGCGAAGGCGGUUCUCUGGGACGGUACUGACGCUGAGACGCGAAAGCGUGGGGAGCGAACAGG